rnacentral:rRNA from 1 species
CAGUAGCCGCGGUAAUACGGAGGGAGCUAGCGUUGUUCGGAAUCACUGGGCGUAAAGCGCACGUAGGCGGCUAUUCAAGUCAGGGGUGAAAGCCCGGGGUUCAACCCCGGAACUGCCUUUGAAACUAGAUAGCUUGAAUCUUGGAGAGGCGAGUGGAAUUCCGAGUGUAGAGGUGAAAUUCGUAGAUAUUCGGAAGAACACCAGUGGCGAAGGCGACUCGCUGGACAAGUAUUGACGCUGAGGUGCGAAAGCGUGGGGAGCAAACAGGAUUAGAUACCCCCGUAGUCCCUGUCUCUUAUAC